rnacentral:rRNA from 1 species
CUGUGAGCUCGAUGAGUAGGGCGGGACACGUGGUAUCCUGUCUGAAUAUGGGGGGACCAUCCUCCAAGGCUAAAUACUCCUGACUGACCGAUAGUGAACCAGUACCGUGAGGGAAAGGCGAAAAGAACCCCGGCGAGGGGAGUGAAAAAGAACCUGAAACCGUGUACGUACAAGCAGUGGGAGCCUCUUAAUGGGGUGACUGCGUACCUUUUGUAUAAUGGGUCAGCGACUUAUAUUCUGUAGCAAGGUUAACCGAAUAGGGGAGCCGAAGGGAAACCGAGUCUUAACUGGGCGUUAAGUUGCAGGGUAUAGACCCGAAACCCGGUGAUCUAGCCAUGGGCAGGUUGAAGGUUGGGUAACACUAACUGGAGGACCGAACCGACUAAUGUUGAAAAAUUAGCGGAUGACUUGUGGCUGGGGGUGAAAGGCCAAUCAAACCGGGAGAUAGCUGGUUCUCCCCGAAAGCUAUUUAGGUAGCGCCUCGUGAAUUCAUCUCCGGGGGUAGAGCACUGUUUCGGCAAGGGGGUCAUCCCGACUUACCAACCCGAUGCAAACUGCGAAUACCGGAGAAUGUUAUCACGGGAGACACACGGCGGGUGCUAACGUCCGUCGUGAAGAGGGAAACAACCCAGACCGCCAGCUAAGGUCCCAAAGUCAUGGUUAAGUGGGAAACGAUGUGGGAAGGCCCAGACAGCCAGGAUGUUGGCUUAGAAGCAGCCAUCAUUUAAAGAAAGCGUAAUAGCUCACUGGUCGAGUCGGCCUGCGCGGAAGAUGUAACGGGGCUAAACCAUGCACCGAAGCUGCGGCAGCGACGCUUAUGCGUUGUUGGGUAGGGGAGCGUUCUGUAAGCCUGUGAAGGUGUGCUGUGAGACAUGCUGGAGGUAUCAGAAGUGCGAAUGCUGACAUAAGUAACGAUAAAGCGGGUGAAAAGCCCGUUCGCCGGAAGACCAAGGGUUCCUGUCCAACGUUAAUCGGGGCAGGGUGAGUCGACCCCUAAGGCGAGGCCGAAAGGCGUAGUCGAUGGGAAACAGGUUAAUAUUCCUGUACUUGGUGUUACUGCGAAGGGGGGACGGAGAAGGCUAUGUUGGCCGGGCGACGGUUGUCCCGGUUUAAGCGUGUAGGCUGGUUUUCCAGGCAAAUCCGGAAAACCAAGGCUGAGGCGUGAUGACGAGGCACUACGGUGCUGAAGCGACAAAUGCCCUGCUUCCAGGAAAAGCCUCUAAGCAUCAGGUAACAUCAAAUCGUACCCCAAACCGACACAGGUGGUCAGGUAGAGAAUACCAAGGCGCUUGAGAGAACUCGGGUGAAGGAACUAGGCAAAAUGGUGCCGUAACUUCGGGAGAAGGCACGCUGAUAUGUAGGUGAAGCGACUUGCUCGUGGAGCUGAAAUCAGUCGAAGAUACCAGCUGGCUGCAACUGUUUAUUAAAAACACAGCACUGUGCAAACACGAAAGUGGACGUAUACGGUGUGACGCCUGCCCGGUGCCGGAAGGUUAAUUGAUGGGGUUAGCGGCAACGCGAAGCUCUUGAUCGAAGCCCCGGUAAACGGCGGCCGUAACUAUAACGGUCCUAAGGUAGCGAAAUUCCUUGUCGGGUAAGUUCCGACCUGCACGAAUGGCGUAAUGAUGGCCAGGCUGUCUCCACCCGAGACUCAGUGAAAUUGAACUCGCUGUGAAGAUGCAGUGUACCCGCGGCAAGACGGAAAGACCCCGUGAACCUUUACUAUAGCUUGACACUGAACAUUGAGCCUUGAUGUGUAGGAUAGGUGGGAGGCUUUGAAGUGUGGACGCCAGUCUGCAUGGAGCCGACCUUGAAAUACCACCCUUUAAUGUUUGAUGUUCUAACGUUGGCCCCUAAUCGGGGUUGCGGACAGUGUCUGGUGGGUAGUUUGACUGGGGCGGUCUCCUCCUAAAGAGUAACGGAGGAGCACGAAGGUUGGCUAAUCCUGGUCGGACAUCAGGAGGUUAGUGCAAUGGCAUAAGCCAGCUUGACUGCGAGCGUGACGGCGCGAGCAGGUGCGAAAGCAGGUCAUAGUGAUCCGGUGGUUCUGAAUGGAAGGGCCAUCGCUCAACGGAUAAAAGGUACUCCGGGGAUAACAGGCUGAUACCGCCCAAGAGUUCAUAUCGACGGCGGUGUUUGGCACCUCGAUGUCGGCUCAUCACAUCCUGGGGCUGAAGUAGGUCCCAAGGGUAUGGCUGUUCGCCAUUUAAAGUGGUACGCGAGCUGGGUUUAGAACGUCGUGAGACAGUUCGGUCCCUAUCUGCCGUGGGCGCUGGAGAACUGAGGGGGGCUGCUCCUAGUACGAGAGGACCGGAGUGGACGCAUCACUGGUGUUCGGGUUGUCAUGCCAAUGGCACUGCCCGGUAGCUAAAUGCGGAAGAGAUAAGUGCUGAAAGCAUCUAAGCACGAAACUUGCCCCGAGAUGAGUUCUCCCUGAGACUUAGAGUCUCCUGAAGGAACGUUGAAGACGACGACGUUGAUAGGCCGGGUGUGUAAGCGCAGCGAUGCGUUGAGCUAACCGGUACUAAUGAACCGUGAGGCUUAACCUU